AAGACUGACUGGCGUGAGGGAGGGAGAGGGGCUCAAAAAUCCUGUCCAGGCGGCAGACGAGAGGGAAAUAAUUACAGUUCCCUAAUGUGUAUUAACUUACUAAGUAAUUGUGUAAACAUGACUUAUUUCCACUCGUACACAACCUUCAGGACUACACCAAAGCACACAGGCAGUGGUGCUCGGAGUCAAGCGGUGAUGAUCAGUGAAAAAAAGGAGUGAUCAGGUUUCCAUUCCCGAUGAAGACGAGGUGCGUUUGAGGAGAUGAAUAAUGUAGAGGGACAUCUGAUUCACCACGUUUCCUCUGGAGGUUCUCCUGUUGGAUCAGAUGGGUGUGUGUCCUGUCCAGGAUGCAUGCGCACGCGCGCGCGCACGCACACACACACACACCUCUACUGGGAUAGGCUCCAGAUCCAACACCACU